rnacentral:rRNA from 1 species
GAUGAACGCUGGCGGCGUGCUUAACACAUGCAAGUCGAAGGGAGUGGCGAACGGGUGAGUAACACGUGAGUAACCUGUCCUUUUCUUUGGGAUAAGCUUCCGAAAGGGUGUUUAAUACCUUAUGUAAAGGGUGGGCUCGCGGUCUAUCAGCGUGUUGGUGGGGUGAUGGCUUACCAAGGCUUUGACGGGUAGCCGGCCUGAGAGGGUGGUGGGUCACAUAGGGACUGCGAAACGGCCCAGACUGCUGCGGGGGGGAGCAGUGGGGGAUAGUGCACAAUGGGCGCAAGCCUGAUGCAGCGACGGCGCGUGGGGGAUGAAGGCCUUCGGGUUGUAAACUUCUUUUGCUCUGAACGUUUAGGGGUUGAUUAGCGCCGGCUAACUACGUGCCAGCAGCCGCGGUAAUAC